UACAGAGGGGGCAAGCGUUGUUCGGAAUUACUGGGCGUAAAGGGCGCGUAGGCGGCCCGCUAAGUCGAACGUGAAAUCCCCGAGCUCAACUCGGGAACUGCGUCCGAUACUGGCGGGCUUGAAUCCGGGAGAGGGAUGCGGAAUUCCAGGUGUAGCGGUGAAAUGCGUAGAUAUCAGGAGGAAUACCGGUGGCGAAGGCGGCCUUCUGGACGGUGACUGACGCUGAGACGCGAAAGCGUGGGGAGCAAACAGG
rnacentral:rRNA from 1 species